UACGAGGGGGGCGAGCGUUGUUCGGAAUUAUUUGGGCGUAAAGGGUGCGUAGGCGGUUUUGGUAAGUCUGAUGUGAAAUCUAUGGGCUCAACUCAUAGUCUGCAUCGGAAACUGCCGGGCUUGAGUGUGGGAGAGGUGAGUGGAAUUCCUGGUGUAGCGGUGAAAUGCGUAGAUAUCAGGAGGAACACCUGUGGCGAAAGCGGCUCACUGGACCAUAACUGACGCUGAUGCACGAAAGCUAGGGGAGCAAACAGG
rnacentral:rRNA from 1 species